rnacentral:lncRNA from 1 species
GUUCGUGCGAACUCUCCUCAUGAGUUGGGUCCGCGAGCUCCCUUCGUUGUCCUCUCAUGGUUUACCUCAUACUCAAUCGUUUAGUGGGAUCUAUUUCAGGUUGGUGAUCACUUAUGUUUAACAAUCUAGUCCCUAAAUUCAUUUAUAUUUUAAAAUAAUUUGAGAAGUAGAAUUGAAGAUUAAAUAAAAGGUUUAGAGACACAUGGAAGAGUAUAAAAGAAAAGAGGAGGAAAGGAGGAGAUGGUGAGAGAGACCCUGAAAAUCAGAUUUAAGCUGAAAUGAUGAUUGAAAAAUAUCAGGAAAAAAGAAAGAAGUGAAUGAAAAUGAAUCCUCUCAAGGCAACUAAUAUAUACAUGGUGGAGAGAGGGUCUCGGACUUGGACAGGACAAGCUUAGGUGGUGAUUAACUACCUCUCUCUCAGGUAAGCAUUCAUUCCCUCCCAUCCUGCUUUUAUGUAUUUUUCUCAUAAAAAAAUAAAGAUGUUAAUCAGACGGCAUUUAUUUCAAUAACUACUAUGUUUAAUUAUAACAAAUACAAAGUUUGAAGCUUAAUUAAACAUUUGAUGUCCGGAUUUUUAUUAUCCGCAUGAUCUCGGCGGAUCAAUAAAUGUACAACAGGAAUGUUUCUGUCAUCUUGCUCCCCUUAUUAUUAUUAGCCACUGCUUUCUUUUCUUUCAAAACUAGCAAAGUAAUUUGAAAGCUAUGAGUAGGUGAGACAAAACAGAUUGAAAUUUUUGUUUUAUUUUUAAUCAAAAUUGAUUAAAAUUAAUUUGGAUUGAUAUGUUAUUUUAUUAAAUAAUUUGAUUUUAUAUUUUUAAAACCGAGUGAUAAAUUAAAAAUAAAUAAUAUUAUUAUUUUAGUUUAAACUUAAUCUUAUUCAAGCUAACCAACCUAACUCCAUGGACCCAAUGUUCCAUGGUUUCUUCUUACAAGUUUUAAACUUUUUUAUCCGAAAUUCUUGCGACACAUUACGUUAUUGUUUCUGGUGCUGAAAUGUUUAAGAUUGUUGUGGUUAGAUUAGAAACGAAAAUGUAAUGGCUAUAUUACUACGUAAUUUGUUAGAUUCAAGGGAGCGAAUCGAAACUUCUGUCAAUAUACCGAAUAAGGAAAAAGAAUUGGAAAGUUCCAAUGUUGGCGUUGCAGCUUGAGAACAAAAAUUCAUAUGAUGUUGGCAACUCAAUAUUAUUUCAUCAAAGCUUUUAUGUUUAAUCAUUUUUGGAGUUAAAGUUGAGUUGACCCAUUUAUAUAUAUAUAUGUAUUUUUUUUUCUGAUUGCUUACAGUUCAAAUCCAUAGGCCAAGGGGGACCAACAUCUUCAAUAUUUAGAGACGUCAUGUUGUAGGGUUCUUUUUUUUUGCUAUAAUUCGUCCCAUUUCAACCCGCAAAAGUCCAGAAUAAAUUGAUGAAUACAAACGUCGUGAAAAAUAUUAAUGAAAACAAACUGAAUAAGCUUUUGCC